rnacentral:rRNA from 1 species
AGUGAACGCUGGCGGUAGGCCUAACACAUGCAAGUCGAACGGCAGCACAGUAAGAGCUUGCUCUUACGGGUGGCGAGUGGCGGACGGGUGAGGAAUACAUCGGAAUCUACUUUUUCGUGGGGGAUAACGUAGGGAAACUUACGCUAAUACCGCAUACGACCUACGGGUGAAAGCAGGGGAUCUUCGGACCUUGCGCGAUUGAAUGAGCCGAUGUCGGAUUAGCUAGUUGGCGGGGUAAAGGCCCACCAAGGCGACGAUCCGUAGCUGGUCUGAGAGGAUGAUCAGCCACACUGGAACUGAGACACGGUCCAGACUCCUACGGGAGGCAGCAGUGGGGAAUAUUGGACAAUGGGCGCAGGCCUGAUCCAGCCAUACCGCGUGGGUGAAGAAGGCCUUCGGGUUGUAAAGCCCUUUUGUUGGGAAAGAAAAGCAGCAGGUUAAUACCCCGCUGUUCUGACGGUACCCAAAGAAUAAGCGCCGGCUAACUUCGUG